rnacentral:lncRNA from 1 species
CUUUGCAGAAGAGGGGGGAAAAAUCAAAGAACGGAGGGCUUGCGGGAGUGGCAGGGGAGAGAAAAAAAACACUGACGGAGAGGUGAGGAGCGCUGCAAUGGAGGACGGCUACUUCCUGUUCCUGCUGGAGUGACCCGCAGGUCUGAGGAGGAGCGAGGAGAGACAGAGCGAGAGAGAGGGGGAGAGAGAGUGAGUUUUACUGAAGGAGAUAAAAGUAGUGAGGAUUAAUAUCGGUGAACCUUCGCGUCCUCUCUGCAUCCCCUCAAAGUGCCAACAUUAAUCCAGCAGCCCCACCACUCUUUAAGAAAGACCU